AGCGGUGUGGCCGAAUGGUAAGGCAGCGCCCUGUUAAGGCGCCCUGUGUAGGUUCGAUUCCUACCGCCGCUG
rnacentral:tRNA from 1 species